ACUCAAAUGAAUUGACGGGGACCCACACAAGCAGUGGAUCAUGUGGUUUAAUUCGACAAUAAACGGGGAACCUUACCCAGGCUUGACAUCCUACGAAUCUGGCGGAAACGUCGGAGUGCUCGCAAGAGAAUGUAGAGACAGGCGCUGCAUGGUUGUCGUCAGCUCGUGCCUUGAGGUGUUCGGUUAAGUCCGUUAACGAGCGCAACCCACGUCAUUAGUUACUAUGUCUAAUGAGACUGCCUGAGUUAAUCAGGAGGAAGGUGUGGAUGACGUCAAAUCAGCAUGGCCCUUAUGCCUGGGGCCACACACAUGAUACAAUGGUCGGUACAAAGGGUUGCAACACCGCGAGGUGAAGCUAAUCCCAUAAAGCCGAUCUCAGUCCAGAUUGGAGGCUGCAACUCGCCUCCAUGAAGUUGGAAUUGCUAGUAAUCGUGAAUCAGACAUGUCACGGUGAAUAUGUUCCUGGGUCUUGUACACACCGCCCGU
rnacentral:rRNA from 1 species